GAUGAACGCUGGCGGCGUGCUUAACACAUGCAAGUCGAGCGAGUGAGUUCUUCGGAAUGAUCUAGCGGCGGACGGGUGAGUAACACGUGGGCAACCUGCCUCAUAGCGGGGCAUAGCCUCCCGAAAGGGUGAUUAAUACCGCAUAAAAUUCUCGAGUGGCAUCACAUGAUAAUUAAAGGAGUAAUCCGCUAUGAGAUGGGCCCGCGGCGCAUUAGGUAGUUGGUGAGGUAACGGCUCACCAAGGCGACGAUGCGUAGCCGACCUGAGAGGGUGAUCGGCCACAUUGGGAAUGAGACACGGCCCAGACUCCUACGGGAGGCAGCAGUGGGGAAUAUUGCACAAUGGGGGAAACCCUGAUGCAGCAACGCCGCGUGAGUGAUGAAGGUCUUCGGAUUGUAAAGCUCUGUCUUUGGGGACGAUAAUGACGGUACCCAAGGAGGAAGCCACGGCUAACUACGUGCCAGCCGCCGCGGUAAAAC
rnacentral:rRNA from 1 species